AGAUAUUAGAAAUCGAAAAGGGGAGGGGGGAAUAGUUUUUCUGUACUGGGAUUUUUAUUAGUUUUCCUCUUUCGGCUAUAAAAUCCGUUCUAAAUUCUGUAAAGGGGCCUCUUUUACACAGAUGUUGAAGACAAACAAAAAAAUCAAAGCAGAAAGUUUUUUUUCGAAAGGUGAUUUUCUCCGUUUUUUUUCUUUUUUUAUUUUCUUUGAUUAUUUGUUUUCUUCUUAGAACCAAACGAAAAUAAAAAAAGAGGAGGGAGUUAGAGGACUUACCUGGACGCCCUCGGAUCCGCACGAAAAGGAGCCGAAAAACCUUUUGUGGUGAGGCUCCGACCACCGUUCAUGGUGGAAUUGCGGCAGAGGAGUGGUGUAAAGAGCUAAGGCCGAAACCCUAGCGGAGAGUUUUCCUUUUUUUAUUUUUUUGUUGAUGCAAACUAUUUUUUUACAGAAACUAGGUUUAAAUAAUGCUUUGAUACGACGUCAUUUUAAGGCAAGGGCACCAGCGCCAAAACGACGCCGUUUGGUCCCUUGGCCUGCGCGGUGACCCGACCCAAGGGAAGGAUCCGCGCGUUUUGGG
rnacentral:lncRNA from 1 species